AACCUGGUUGAUCCUGCCAGUAGUCAUACGCUCGUCUCAAAGAUUAAGCCAUGCAUGUGUAAGUUCAAUGAUUUGACCAAAAAACUGCGAAUGGCUCAUUAUAUCAGUUAUAGUUUAUUUGAUAGUCCCUUACUACUUGGAUACCCGUAGUAAUUCUAGAGCUAAUACAUGCGUAAACACUCGACCUUUGGAAGAGUGGUAUUUAUUAGAUUGAAACCAACCCGUUUCGGCGGUGUCCUGGCGAUUCAUAAUAACUUUUCGGAUUGCAUUGCAACAUUUCAUUCAAGUUUCUGCCCUAUCAGCUUUGGCGGUAGUGUAUUGGACUACCGUGGCUUUAACGGGUAACGGAGGAUUAGGGUUUGAUUCCGGAGAGGGAGCCUGAGAGACGGCUAC
rnacentral:rRNA from 1 species